rnacentral:rRNA from 1 species
UACGUAGGGACCGAGCGUUGUCCGGAAUUAUUGGGCGUAAAGGGCUCGUAGGCGGUUUGUCGCGUCGGGAGUGAAAUCCACUGGCUUAACUGGUGGCUUGCUUUCGAUACGGGCAGACUGGAGGUAUGCAGGGGAGAACGGAAUUCCUGGUGUAGCGGUGAAAUGCGCAGAUAUCAGGAGGAACACCGGUGGCGAAGGCGGUUCUCUGGGCAUUACCUGACGCUGAGGAGCGAAAGCGUGGGGAGCGAACAGG